rnacentral:rRNA from 1 species
UACAGAGGGUGCGAGCGUUAAUCGGAUUUACUGGGCGUAAAGGGUGCGUAGGUGGCGGGGUAAGUCUGGUGUGAAAGCUCCGAGCUCAACUCGGAAAAGCAUUGGAAACUAUCCCGCUGGAGGGUCGGAGGGGAGACUGGAAUUCUCGGUGUAGCAGUGAAAUGCGUAGAUAUCGAGAGGAACACCAGUGGCGAAGGCGGCUUUCUGGGACGGUACUGACGCUGAGACGCGAAAGCGUGGGGAGCGAACAGG